rnacentral:lncRNA from 1 species
CCAGCAUGUUCCAAUCAUUAUUUCAAGUGUACAUCAGCAAAUGGACAAAAAUCUUUGAGGUUACUGGAUACAAAAAUGCAUAGCAAAUAAUUCUGUGUCCUCUAGAUCAAGCCCUCUGGGUCCAGGUGCCAUCUGCAGAAUGCAGGGGAGGGCGGCUGUCUCUCUGUGACACAAUUUCCUCUGUAGAAGGCAGGACAGACAGUCUUACUUAGGGCACAGAUGAAAGGAGAGAACACUGGUUUAAUGGCUUUUCUCAUUGCUGUGAUCCAACCCCUACCAAAAGUAACUUAAGUGGGGAGGUGUGUUCUGCUCGAGGCUCAGGAGAGGCUACGUGACAAGGAAGGCAUGGCGACAGGAAUGGCUUGCAGCUUUGGUGACAGAAAGGUACUUAGAUUCAGGGAGAUCAGCAAGAGAGGAGGGGGGGAGGGAAAGAGGGGAGAGGGAAUGCUGGAGCUAAGAUGACAGUCUGGUAGUCUUCCCUUUUUAUUUAUUUAUUUAUUUUUUUAUUUUUAGUUUUUUCGGUCUAAUACCCCAGCCCAUGGGAUAGUGAAUCUUCUUUCUUUGGUUAAACUGUUAGACCCCUGAAAACUCAAGUAUCCGGGGUCCCAGGCCACGUUUGAGGUCACCCCAAUCACCAGGCAGAUUCGAGAGCUUGCUGCAAACUGCACGAGGCUUUAUUGUAAUUUAACGAGCUAACCCCAUGUUAGCUCGGGCCUUUCACCCACCCGUCAUGGUGGAUGGCCAGAAAAGACGGCUCCUAGGGGCUCCCAAAAGAUCUUAUAGGGCAGCGUAAGGGGAGUGUCUAGGGGUACACACAGGCUUACGAUUGGUGUGCCUCCAGCCUCGGAGGGCUUGCCCUCACACCAAUCCUGAACCUGUGUGUACCCCUAGACACUCUCCAUGCUGCUCUAUAAGAUCUCUAUGCAGCCACUUUAAACUGUCUUUUGUAGUCAUCCUCCAUGGCGGGUGGAUGAAAGACCCGACCCGAGCUAACAUGGGGUUAGCUCGUUAAACAACAAUAAAGCCUCAUGCAGUUUGAAUCAAGCUUUCGACUCAGCCUGAUGAUUGGGGUGGCCGUGGUUCUGGGCUAAGAUCCUGGAAGCCUGAGCUCUCCAGGGGAGUCUUACAAGAGCUUGGGUCUAGAACAGC